rnacentral:rRNA from 1 species
GAUGAACGCUAGCGGCAGGCUUAACACAUGCAAGUCGAGGGGUAAAUAUAGCAAUAUAUGAGACCGGCAAACGGGUGCGGAACGCGUACGCAAUCUACCCUUGUCUGGGGCAUAGCCCGGAGAAAUCCGGAUUAACUCCCCAUAGGAUAGUAGUAAGGCAUCUUACAGCUAUUAAAAAUUUAUUGGACAAGGAUGAGCGUGCGUCCCAUUAGCUAGUUGGUAGGGUAACGGCCUACCAAGGCGACGAUGGGUAGCUGGUGUGAGAGCACGACCAGCCACACGGGCACUGAGACACGGGCCCGACUCCUACGGGAGGCAGCAGUGAGGAAUAUUGGUCAAUGGACGCAAGUCUGAACCAGCCAUGCCGCGUGAAGGAUGAAGGCCUUCUGGGUUGUAAACUUCUUUUAUGUGGGAAGAAACCACCUUUUUCUAAGGGUGUUGACGGUACCAUAGGAAUAAGCACCGGCUAACUCCGUGCCAGCCGCCGCGGUAAGAC